rnacentral:lncRNA from 1 species
CCUACAUACAUUUUCUGUUUCCCUAGGCUUUCCCUUAACUAAUGGUAUUAUGAUGGUCUCUUUCUUGCCUUUGGGGAUCUCUCUUGAACUACAUGAACUUGUUAAGUGUCGGUGAAGACUUCUCUCAAUUUCUGUUCCUGCCUUUUUUGCUCUCUCAGAAAUCUGAUGUCUAGCCUGUGAGCUGAGCCCUAAGGAAGCCCAAAGUGGUAGUACAUACUUCUGCAAUAGAAAGGGACAUAAAGCACUCCCUUACUCCCUUGCAUGGGCCACUCAGGUAGGGCUCAGCUGAAGGAGCCAUUGUUACCACUCAGCAGAUGGAAGAAAUAAAAUCAUAUCACAAAAAACUGGCACAAAUGACCGGAGGAUCAAGGACCCGCUGACCAAGCACAGACCAAGGAAAGGCACUGCCCCACAGAAAUGUCUUCAAGGGCACAGUUCAGAGCUGAUGUCAAGCUUCCUCAGAAUCCAACUGUGGCCUUAGCAGGGAGGAAGUAGUGCACCCUGGAGUGGGCUACUGAGUAAUACUGUUUUACCUAAACCUUGGCCAUACAUUGGUUAUUGGUGCAUCUUCAAGGAUGGCUUUCCUUGGGCAGUCCUGUACUGGAGUUGU